CUAGAAACAUUUGUGGAAGUCCAGGGAAGGUAUAAAAGGUAAGAAGGGUAGGGUAGGGUAGGGUAGGGUAGGGUAGGGUAAGAAGCGGUACCUGCGGGCCAGCUAGAUUGAAAACAAAAAAUUCAUAAUAUCUCACCAAGUCGAGCAAAGAAGCGGCAUGGCCGUACCUUUUCUCGAAGCAUUAUUUUAUUAUAAACUUUAUUAACAUAUUGUUCACCGCGAAAUCACUUUGAGAUUGAGAUCCAAGUGAUCAGCAGGUUUACUUAUUCAUUAAUUAAUAAUCAUAAUCCAACCGACAUUUCUUCGUCCGUCUCUAUGCCACCAUUCUGUCACCGCCUUUAUCCACCUUCCGUCCUGCCUUCGAGCCAAGUUUCCUGCCGACUCCCAUUUCAGUUCCGUGACCUGCAUACCGACGUCGAAGACUUUUGUCUUUUGGUGAUUUACCACGCUGGGAAUACGGUCUGUAAGCGAAAUUCUUAACAUGGAUCGCUCCAUAGCUCUCUGUGCAACUCUGAUUCGGUGCACAGUUUGCUUGGUCAGCGUCCAUGUAUCGGCACCGUAUGUUAGUGUGGGCAAGACACAUAAGCAAUUAUCAAUCCAUAAGCAGCGUCGCUCGCUUUAAACUAUCUGUCAGAUUCAUAAAAGAUACGCUAGAUUUGAUAAGCAAGCGACGAUGCUUUAGGAUUGUUAAUGGCUAAGUUUUAGUGGUGGUAACCCCAAAGGACUAUCACAAUGUGAGUUGGGUCUCACCCGACAGCCGGACCGAGAACCAAAUCGACCGACGAUUAGUCGAAAAUGGAGACACUUCUGGAUGUUAGGAAUAAGAGGGUUGCUGAUGUCAAUAGUGAUCACCACUUAGUCGAUGGAAAAAUGUGCUUGAAGAUAGCGGGAGUUUAGGAGCAGGCCACAAGAUCUGCCAAAGGUGUCGUGUAAAUAAGCUGCAGGACCCACAAGUUAGAAGAAAACUUAGUAUCCAGAUCGGCAACAACUGGCAUCAAAGACGUGUUGUUAAAAAUUUGCGAAGAAAUAAUAAGGCACAAGGAACACUUAAAGAAUGAAUGGAUGUCUAAAGAAACAUGGGAUAUGAUCAACCAUCAAGGAAGACUUAACGUCGAACUAGACGACCAUUCUAAAGAAAGACUUGCGUACGAGUAUUUUCUUUGUGAACUUAAUAUCAAACGAAAUUUAUAAAAGGACAAACGCUGCUAGGGGUAACCCUAUAUCCAGCGAUGGUCUCAUCGGCUGCCAUAGGAAACAUGAAGGAUCUAUACAAAGCAUCUUGAAGAACAUUGCAACAAAACCCAGGAUAUCUCCUUGUUACUAUGAAAGAUUGACUUUCAAGAUGGUAUGGCCACAUUGCCGAAGUUUUUAAUGAUCC